rnacentral:rRNA from 1 species
GGUUUUCCAGGCAAAUCCGGAAAAUCAAGGCUGAGGCGUGAUGACGAGGCACUACGGUGCUGAAGCAACAAAUGCCCUGCUUCCAGGAAAAGCCUCUAAGCAUCAGGUAACAUCAAAUCGUACCCCAAACCGACACAGGUGGUCAGGUAGAGAAUACCAAGGCGCUUGAGAGAACUCGGGUGAAGGAACUAGGCAAAAUGGUGCCGUAACUUCGGGAGAAGGCACGCUGAUAUGUAGGUGAAGCGACUUGCUCGUGGAGCUGAAAUCAGUCGAAGAUACCAGCUGGCUGCAACUGUUUAUUAAAAACACAGCACUGUGCAAACACGAAAGUGGACGUAUACGGUGUGACGCCUGCCCGGUGCCGGAAGGUUAAUUGAUGGGGUCAGCGCAAGCGAAGCUCUUGAUCGAAGCCCCGGUAAACGGCGGCCGUAACUAUAACGGUCCUAAGGUAGCGAAAUUCCUUGUCGGGUAAGUUCCGACCUGCACGAAUGGCGUAAUGAUGGCCAGGCUGUCUCCACCCGAGACUCAGUGAAAUUGAACUCGCUGUGAAGAUGCAGUGUACCCGCGGCAAGACGGAAAGACCCCGUGAACCUUUACUAUAGCUUGACACUGAACAUUGAGCCUUGAUGUGUAGGAUAGGUGGGAGGCUUGGAAGUGUGGACGCCAGUCUGCAUGGAGCCGACCUUGAAAUACCACCCUUUAAUGUUUGAUGUUCUAACGUUGACCCGUAAUCCGGGUUGCGGACAGUGUCUGGUGGGUAGUUUGACUGGGGCGGUCUCCUCCUAAAGAGUAACGGAGGAGCACGAAGGUUGGCUAAUCCUGGUCGGACAUCAGGAGGUUAGUGCAAUGGCAUAAGCCAGCUUGACUGCGAGCGUGACGGCGCGAGCAGGUGCGAAAGCAGGUCAUAGUGAUCCGGUGGUUCUGAAUGGAAGGGCCAUCGCUCAACGGAUAAAAGGUACUCCGGGGAUAACAGGCUGAUACCGCCCAAGAGUUCAUAUCGACGGCGGUGUUUGGCACCUCGAUGUCGGCUCAUCACAUCCUGGGGCUGAAGUAGGUCCCAAGGGUAUGGCUGUUCGCCAUUUAAAGUGGUACGCGAGCUGGGUUUAGAACGUCGUGAGACAGUUCGGUCCCUAUCUGCCGUGGGCGCUGGAGAACUGAGGGGGGCUGCUCCUAGUACGAGAGGACCGGAGUGGACGCAUCACUGGU